AGGUGAUGGACAACAGGUUGAUAUUCCUGUACUACCGAUAACCGUUUGAGAGAAGGGAUGACACAGUAGGAUAAGCUAAGCACACUGUUGGUUAUGUGUGCCCAAGCAUUGAGGCAGUCAAAGUAGGCAAAUCCGCUUUGAUAAUGCUGGGGUGUGAUGGGGAGCGAAAUUUAGUAGCGAAGUAGCUGAUUUCACACUGUCAAGAAAAGUCUCUAUCGAGGUUAAAGGUACCCGUACCGCAAACCGACACAGGGGGGUGAGGAGAGUAUCCUAAGGCCAGCGAGAGAACUGUUGUUAAGGAACUCGGCAAAAUGACCCCGUAACGUAGGGAUAAGGGGUGCCACCAUCAGGUGGCCGCAGAGAAUAGGCCCAAGCGACUGU
rnacentral:rRNA from 1 species